rnacentral:rRNA from 1 species
CUCUACGGCCAUACCACACUGAAUCCACCCCAUCUCGUCUGAUCUUGGAAGCUAAGGCCAAUGGGAAACUGCAGCCU